GCCUCGGCGUGACCGAGGGAGAAGGAGAAGGAUGAGGAGAAGGAGAAGGAUGAGAAGGAUGAGGAGAAGGAGAAGAAGAAGGAGAAGGAGGCCAGCUACUAGCAAGAAGAAUCCGUCGAGCGAUUAUGGGGUGCCAGUUACUGGAGCAAGUGGAACAUCAGCUGCUGACGUGCUGAUAAAUGUUUGUGUGUGUGUGUCUGACCCAGGAAGGACACACAUCAGAAGGUCAGAUGUCAAUAAUAAAUGUUUCCCAUUACAACAGCAGGUUAUAUGACCCAGAAGCCCUAAAUUACACAAUGUGUAAAAACUAUCACUUUGAAACAACCUCUGAAAACCUUCAAGCUAGCAACGAGGUCAACAUAAUUAGCAUCAAGCAUAUAGAAAUUGAAUUUAACUAUGGCCAUAUGGUUAAUAAAUUUGAGCAUGGAACUGAAGGGGAAUAAAGAUUCAAGGAACUGACGUAGUUUGACCCCAACUCUACAUUCAUCCACUGUGUCAACUAGAAUAGCAGAUUUACAUUCUGCAUGGUGUGAAUGCAUCUUCAUGCAUGAUGCAGUCUUUAAAUCUGCUGAACUUACUCUGGCAUUGUGAUGCUGAUGUGUGACAUGUAAUUCAAAGUUGAUGGAAUCUGGCUGAAUGUAACAUUGGGCUGAAGCUCCGUGAAAGAAAUAUGGGAAUCGCAUGUUCCUGCACAUACACAACUGUGUGGAAGCAUCCAUAAAUGCAUGCAUGCUAUACGGUUGUAAUACCAGUACAGGCAGGUAUGCAAGAAGGUUUAUUUCUGCACAGAGCACAAACAUCGACGAGCAGGCAUGCACAGAAACACGUAGCAUUUACAUUAUGCACCGGGGCCAUAAGCCUGAUAUUUUUUACUCUGCUGAAGCUGCUGAAUGACAGUAAAGCUCUGCUUAAUACCCCACAACAGAACGCUGCACCAUUUAAAAGACUCUGAAUUGAUCACUAAGCAUGCAACAUUGGCUUAAAAGGCCUGAUUUUAUUAUUACUAAGGCAACCUUCUACCAGACUGACUAAGACUGUGUCCAUUAUCAUUCAAAUGAGAGGGGAAGUAAACAAAUUGGUAGUGAAAGCGAGCGCUGUUAGUUGUUUGGUGAUCUAAACUGGCUCUAAGCAUCAGUGUGGACGAUGCUGCUUCCUUUACUUUUACUGUGAAGUACGCCUAUAAUAACUAGCAGAAUUACAAAUAACCAUGCUAGUGAGGAAGUUAUUGAACAGCACUAAAGGCAGGGAGCCUCAAAGACAUGUUCAUAUUAUCAAUCAGCAAUAUGAGCAUUAGUGUUUCUGCUCAAUAGCUUGUACAAUUUGUGUGUUGUGGUGAUAAAGGAGUGGGUCAGACCUUCAUAUAUCUUGAUAAGUGCAUUGAAAAAAUUGUCCUUGCCAUCUGUCCUUGCCAUCUGUCCCAUCCCUUAAUGCUACCAAAAUAACUGCCAUAGAGGUUGCAUUUUUUAGAAAUCACACAUGCAAACACCACUUUUCACUGGUGAACAGCAACAACACAAGUUAUGUAAAAUGCAGAAAAAUGUUUUUUCUGCAUAGUUGUGUGGUUACUGGAGCGAAAGCACUGAAAAAGCUUUUCAAACUGAAUCUGCAGCAUGGUGAAUGGCCAGUGUUUCAAUAUGCUGUUGAAGCUGUGGCCUUGGUGGGUCUAUGCAGAGCCCACACAGAGUGAGAGAAUGGUCCUUCCUCCAGGUUUUCUAUAUACAUUGUUAGAGGGCGUACAACAUGAGUAAUGUUCUCUUUUGUUGAGCCAAACCUAUAAACAUUUGUCCUUGCUCUACUUAUAAGAUUGUCCUAUUAUCCGGUAUUACUGUCUCUUCAUCGACUCUAAAUUAUAUUGUUCGCUCUUCCUCGUCACCUGUUAUUAUCAUAUUUCAUUCCUCUACCUUUAAUUUCCUCUACAUUUUAUAUCCCUUCUCUCUGUCUUUUCAUUUUCUCUGUUCUUUCUCUCUCCCUGUCUCUCAGGGGACAGGAGCGCUGUGCACGAUUGUCAUGGCAACAACGAUGGGAAGACAAGAUGGAGGAGUCAUAGCUGGCCUGGCCUCCUUUACAGUGGAAGAGAUCCUGUUUGUGAGAACACCAGAUGUUGUCUUUAAAAUUUUAUUGGAAAAGAAAAAUGUUCUUGACUAGGAAAGCUUAAGGUAAUAAUAUAUAUUUUUAACAGGUAGAUAUUCACACAUGCAACUGCUUAGAGUGCAAGUGCGCUGCAAAAUCACUAAAUGAUAAAAAUGGAUCCUGCACAUCACACUUGCUUAACACAUUUUGGUCCACUGCACAUUUGUCAGGUGAUGGUUAAGUGAGGCUAAGCAAGAAAAGUAUAUAUUUUAAUAAAUAUAUAUUUCCAAAUCUUAGACUGGCGUGUAGGCAACCUAUUCUACCUUUUGACUUUUUCCAUUGCACAAAUUACACGUUGCCAUUCUCCCCUCUUCUAGUUGUUGGACAAUCACAGAAUUGAAACUAGAGAGACCGUUUGUUGAGCAAUCCAAAAAAACAAAAUGUGGCUCUGUUCAUUUUGGCUCACUGUUCUGCCAUUGCAAGGAGCAUAAAGGUAAUGGCAAAAUGCACUACAGCCUUCUGCAAAUGCUCUGUGACAAAACACAUUUGAAUUUUUACUUGUGU